AACCCCUGUGACAUACCUAUCGUUGCUUCGGCGGGAUCGCCCCGGCGCCAUCGCGGCCCGGACCCAGGCGCCCGCCGGAGGACCCAAACUCUUGAAUUUAUGAAGUAUCUUCUGAGUAAACAAGCAAAUAAAUUAAAACUUUCAACAACGGAUCUCUUGGUUCUGGCAUCGAUGAAGAACGCAGCGAAAUGCGAUAAGUAAUGUGAAUUGCAGAAUUCCGUGAAUCAUCGAAUCUUUGAACGCACAUUGCGCCCGCCAGUAUUCUGGCGGGCAUGCCUGUUCGAGCGUCAUUUCAACCCUCAAGCCCCCGGGCUUGGUGUUGGGGCUCGGCCCGUCCCUCGUGGCGCGCCGUCCCCGAAAUCUAGUGGCGGUCUCGCUGCAGCCUCCCCUGCGUAGUAGCUAACACCUCGCAACGGGAACUGAGCGCGGCCACGCCGUUAAACCCCAACUUCUGAAGGUUGACCUCGGAUCAGGUAGGAAUACCCGCUGAACUUAAGCAUAUCAAUAAGCAGAGGA
rnacentral:rRNA from 1 species